GUUACCGCGAGGUAGGGUCUGAAGGAAGUCGAACCCAAAGCUGCGGGGCGAUGAACAAGAACCGGAUGGUAGGCGUGGUGCAUUCGGGGCGAGCGGGCACGUAACCGCGAAGCCCUCCAUCUGCAAAACUGGAUGCACUUUGUAAAUCCGGCGCUCGCGCAGCGACAGUGACGUGUC
rfam:Duganella sp. Root198D2 contig_27, whole genome shotgun sequence.